CAGCGCGCGCCAAGGACACAUUCUCCAGCAACGCGGUGCGGUACCGGGCUGAGUCCAAGCGCCAGGAGCCGCGGGGUCCUGGUUGCUGUUUUCCUGUGACGCUUGGCGGCGGCGGCCAGAGCGGCCCCAGCACCGUGCCCUGGGCUCACUGCGGCUCUCCUAUCACCCAGGGGUCGUCCCGGUCCGCCCGCACUCUUCUCUCCGCCCGACCCCCCUCUGGCUGCGCGUCCUCGGCUGGCUCGGGGAGGGCGCCGCUCCUCCCUGGGAGACCCCAGGGAGACCCGCCUCACGGCCUGCGCACCUCCUCUCGCUCUAAAGCGGCCGCUGGAGGAGCCACAGGUCUGGCGGGUCCAUGUCGAGGUGCCCUGGGCUCCCGCACGACCCCACGGCCUCCUGCGUCCCGCACCUCUUGUGUCCUGCAGCCGCCCGCGUCCUCUCUGGGACCCCUUCCUUCCGAGUCCGUCCACAUCCCCGGCGGUUCCUCUGAAAUCCGCACCCCCCAACCCCGGAACCUCGGCUCUUCCGCGCGCUCCUCGUCCCCGCAUCCUCAGCCCCUAGAUGUCCUCCGCGUUCUGUAUCCCCCUGCACCACACCGCUCCCUCUCUCCCUGCCCUUCGCACUAGGACCCUCAGGGACCAAAAUCGUCCAAGAUGCCUUCCCUGGUGUCGAGUUUAUGUUAAGGGGUUGGGUGAGGAGACCAAAAAGCAGUGGAUGUGGUAACCACAGGGGCGCCGUGUGUCCGAGUCGGGCGCCUGUCGGAGGAAGCGAGACGGGAGGAGAGGCUGCGGCUCGCGCCCUGGGCAGCGACAGUGUGGACGCCAUUGCAAUUUCCCAACGGCUGCCACCCGCAGGGUCAACACACAGGCCCCCUCCACCCCUCCCAGUCGCCCACCUCCCAUCCCUGCAGAAGCCACCUUAGAGCCGGUGUCUGGGCCGUAAGGAGCCCGGGUGGGGGUCAGGAGCAUCGGCCAGAACGUCUCCAGAUUCCGGCCCUGAACCCGGAUGAGGCCCUGCCCAGCGCUCGGUGCUGUCCAAGGAAAAUGAGACCUCGAGGUGAAAAGCGCAGAGGCUGUGCACGCUAGGGCCAAGCGGAGGACGCGUUAUUACUGUUUUCUUCUUGAUGAUAAAACCAGGUGUUGACAAAUGCCGGAGAGAUCGGCAUUCGCAGGACGUGGGUUGAAUGUAACUUGCAUUCUUCCAGUUCGGCAAUCUCACUUCUAGAACUCUGUCCUAGGAACAUACGAGGCUAUUUCAGGAUUGCUUACAACCUGGAGGCAACCGGGAUGUGUCUGGCCACUGGAGCUAGUGGAUUUCACGCAUCCCUGCAGUGGGCAUCAAGCAGCAAAAAGAAUGUUGUGCAGCAUUCAUAAGAAGGAAGACAUUUGUAACACAUUAUGAAAAAACAUAUGUGGGCCAGGCACGGUGGCUCAUGCCUGUAAUCCCAGUACUUUAGGAGGCCGAGGCGGGAGGAUGACUUGAGGUGAGGAGUUCAAGACCAGCCUGGCCAACAUGGCGAAACCCCGUCUCUACUUAAAAAUACAAAAAUUAGCCAGGCACGCUAGCGCGCGCCUGUAUUCCCACCUACUCGGGAGGCUGAGUCAGGAGAAUCACUUGAACCCGGGAGGCGGAGGUUGCAGUGAGCCGAGAUCUCCCCACUGCACUCCAGCCUGGACGGCAGAGCGAGACUCUGUCUCAACAACAAAUGUGUGGCAUCACCUUGAUUUUCUGAAAAUAAAAAAAUUUU
rnacentral:lncRNA from 1 species